rnacentral:rRNA from 1 species
AUGGUAAGUGGGAACGGAAGCCAGCUUUUCCAUGGAAAUUUCUUGCCAAAACUCGCAAAAGCAAACGCGCGACGCGACGAGCCGAUCAACGAGCAUGCAUCUAUCGACCAACGAGCAACCAUCGACGAGGUAGGGCGUAUCCGUGUUGGUGGAUGGAUUCGGAUUGGCACGCACGCGCCGGCGGCAUCUCCGUCUGGUCCACGGGCGACGGCGCGCCCGUCGACUCUGGGGGCUCGCUCGGCCUGUCGUCCAUCGGCGACCUGCAGCUGCUCAACGGCUCCAGUGCUGUGCUCUGGUCGCCCGGCACCGUCGUCGCCCUCCAAGAGCGGCAACCUCGUGCUCAAGAACUCUGUGGCAAGCUUCCUGUGGCAGUACUUCGACCACCCCACGGACAGUAUGGUCAUGUCACAAAGCUUUGCCUCCGGCAUGAACCUCACAUCCGCCCCCCACGUCUUCACCGUCGACAAGGCCACCAGCAACCUAACGCUGAGGUGGGCCAUCGCUGGCUCCGCCACCGUCGCCUACUUCAACAAGGGCUACAAUUCCACCUUCACCGCCAACAAGACGCUCAGCUCCCCGACGCUCAAAAAUCUAGAUGCAGACGAACGCAUCGUCUCUCUCACCGACAGCAUGCUCUCCUUCUCCGUUGUCGUUGCCUACAGCAGCAACUACGGGGAGAGUGGCGACAUGCUGCGCUUCGUGCGCCCCGACACGGAUGGAAACUUUGGCGCUUACUACACCGGUGCGCCAGUGGCACGGCGACCGAGUAGUGGUCGGCGGUGGCGGACCAGUGUGAGGUGUUUGGCUACUGCAGUAACAUGGAUCACCGCGGGGAACACAUCCAUCGAGAAACAACCAGUUUCUUCCAGGCCGAUCUUGACGGCCUCUGACGAGAGGCUAGAUCCAAGCGAGGUGGGUUGCGCCGGCGAGGCUCUUUCGCUCGCGUCAUCUCCUCUUCCCAGUGUCGGUCUAGGGGUCUCGCUGCAAAACUGGCUUCGCCCCGGGCUCACCUCGCACCACUGCCAUGUCGCCUCUGCUUCUAGCUCCUCCAUCACCUACGGCGGUAUUUUGGUGUUCCUAUGUGGCAGCGUGACGGCCAUGCUGGAGGCUGCGAGCUCCGCGGGUCCCGAAGACGCUUGCCGCGUCAGAGGUAGCAGGGCUGUGGGAGAGCAUCGUCGCCAGGUUCAACGGCGCGCUGGAUCCUGGGACGGUGAAUGCGCUCACGGCUCACCUACCGCACGCACUGUCGACGGGCAAGUUUGCCGACCUGGAGUCGCUAAGAACAACGAGAAACAAGGAGUGCAUCAUUGCAUCAUGACGCUGCCGCCAAGCACUGAUCGCUGA